CAGUCGCCACGGUAAUACGUAGGGGGCAAGCGUUAUCCGGAAUUACUGGGCGUAAAGGGUGCGUAGACGGUUAAACAAGUCUGAAGUGAAAUGCCGGGGCUCAACCUCGGAGCUGCUUUGGGAACUGUAGAACUGGAGUGUCGGAGGGGUAAGCGGAAUUCCCAGUGUAGCGGUGAAAUGCGUAGAUAUUGGGAGGAACACCGACGGCGAAGGCGGCUUACUGGACGACAACUGACGUUGAGGCUCGAAAGCCAGGGGAGCGAACGGGAUUAGAUACCCCAGUAGUCCCUGUCUCUUAUAC
rnacentral:rRNA from 1 species